AUUAUGCUAAUGCAAGUCAAUAUGCCCAAUUAGCAUGCUAAUAAAAACCGAUAUUCACAGAUCUAACAUAGUCAAAUAAAUUCAAAACGCAGCUCGAUGUUCAAAAACCCUCUGCAGCCAAAACAAUGUCUCACCAAACUGCCGUAAUUCAUUUAAUUCUGCGGGACUAUUUUUCCAUAAGCGUAAUGGCACCACAACAGAGGAGUCCUAUUGCCACUCGUCUUCACCUCGGUGUGCUAUGCUGAGUGUUCACGGAAGGACGUCAACAUGGUGAAAUGUGCUUUUAGAAGCUGUGGAAACAUACAGAAGAAAUGGACAAAGGAAAGUUUCCACCGCUUGCCUGUGAUGAACGAGGAACUAUAUAAAAAGGGGUUACUCUGCUGGAUAUGACAUAUACACACCGGUGGAAAAAAUACUGCUUUGGAGUAUUUGCAGCGCGCAUUUUCAUCGGUAUCAUCUCCUGAAAUCAAACGCUGUGCCUUCGACUGUCCAAACGUCUUCAAGAGCUUCUGAUAAACAGGCGACCUGGAGAUGCUGAAGGUACACCCAGAAGAGGCUCCACUUUGUUUUCAACUCCAUGAAGGCAAGGGCGCCAGCAAGUGAGGAAUGCUGAUGGGACUUUGAGAUACAGCUUGGAGUUUCCAAAGCAAACAAAAAGAUGGGUUGCCUGGAGGAGUUACGAGCCAACAACGCAGACAUUCUGACAGAAUUUUGUGGCGCAUGUCCUGGAAAGACCGCAGGAUUCAUCAGUGAAGUUUGCUGAUGCAGACUUUUAUUUCAAGUCUCCAACUACAAUUCCCCAAAGCAUCGCAGGCAUCAAAAGGCCUGAUAAAGAAAAAGUCAUUUUACAUGUCAGUAGAUUUAAAAAAUGAGUAGGCUGACAUUUUCCUUUUUUUUUUUUUAAUAGAUAUUUUUGAAUGUACUAUAAUUAAAAACACACACACACACACAUAUUGUCUUAUUUGUGAAAUGUGAAGGUUUAAAAGAUCAAACGUUUCUGGGUAUGUAGGAGUUUUUAGGAGUAUUUAGAACAAUUGCAGAGCAUCUUCAGUUUCCCUAAAACCAUUGUAGUUCCCAUUGACAGAAGUGCACUUGUUACGGAUACAGGAGACGACACACGAUGGAAGAACACGUCGCUGGCCUCUUCCCAGAUGUUUGCCUUUCAACGCCCACUCAAGAACAACCCUAUAUGCCACCAAUCGGAGUUGCCUAAAACAAGAAAACCAUAAUACAGGGUGAUUAAAAAAGAAAGUGCCAAAAUCAUCAUGUGAUAGAUCAAAAAAUUAUAUAUAUUAUUUAAAAAAGUUACAGAACUCUAGCUUGGACACAUGUUCAAUAUUCUCAACAAAUAAGCAGCACUCUACUAUAUGCAGCAGGAUUCAAAAUGAGGGGGGAAAAGUAGCGGCUUAUAGUCCGCAAAUUACGUAACUUCAAGUUUUUAAAUCAAGUGCUCUAAGGUGACAAUCACCGGCAAUUGAAAUACAUGAAGUAAUACUUGAUGUUCAACACAUUUGCCUAUGUCAGUUUUAUAAUGUUUUUAUUUUUUGACAUAUUGCGUGAUGAUUUAGGCACAUUCUUGUAAAUAAUUGCCAUACUGCUACUGCUUUUUAUAUUGACAUGCUUUUACUCUCACAAUGCAUUACUGUUGAGAUGAUAUAGCUGCUUUCCUGAAGUAGAACUAAGCUUAGAGUAUACGAAUAUUUGCCCAGCGACAAA